CCUUCGGGAGGGUAGCUGAAGGUCCUAUUCGAAUAAAGCUCCGACUAAUUCCGUGCCAGCAGCCGCGGUAAUUCGGAGGGUGCAAGCGUUAUCCGGGAUUUAUUGGGUUUAAAGGGUCCGUAGGCUGAUUUGUAAGUCAGUGGUGAAAUCUCACAGCUUUAACUGUGAAACUGCCAUUGAUACUGCAGGUCUUGAGUGUUGUUGAAGUAGCUGGAAUAAGUAGUGUAGCGGUGAAAUGCAUAGAUAUUACUUAGAACACCAAUUGCGAAGGCAGGUUUACUAAGCAACAACUGACGCUGAUGGACGAAAGCGUGGGGAGCGAACAGGAUUAGAUACCCUGGUAGUCCACGCCGUAAACGAUGCUAACUCGUUUUUGGGGCGCAAGCUUCAGAGACUAAGCGAAAGUGAUAAGUUAGCCACCUGGGGAGUACGAACGCAAGUUUGAAACUCAAAGGAAUUGACGGGGGCCCGCACAAGCGGUGGAUUAUGUGGUUUAAUUCGAUGAUACGCGAGGAACCUUACCAAGGCUUAAAUGGGAAAUGACAGGUUUAGAAAUAGACUUUUCUUCGGACAUUUUUCAAGGUGCUGCAUGGUUGUCGUCAGCUCGUGCCGUGAGGUGUUAGGUUAAGUCCUGCAACGAGCGCAACCCCUGUCACUAGUUGCCAUCAUUAAGUUGGGGACUCUAGUGAGACUGCCUACGCAAGUAGAGAGGAAGGUGGGGAUGACGUCAAAUCAUCACGGCCCUUACGCCUUGGGCCACACACGUAAUACAAUGGCCGGUACAGAGGGCAGCUACACAGCGAUGUGAUGCAAAUCUCGAAAGCCGGUCUCAGUUCGGAUUGGAGUCUGCAACUCGACUCUAUGAAGCUGGAAUCGCUAGUAAUCGCGCAUCAGCCAUGGCGCGGUGAAUACGUUCCCGGGCCUUGUACGCACCGCCCGUCAAGCCAUGGAAGUCUGGGGUCCCUGAAAUCGGUGACCGUAACAGGAGCUGCCUAGCUAACCCCCCCCCCCGGGUAGUUUACAGGGCCGGGGUUAAAAAACAAAAAAAAAUUAAAUUUCUUCCUUUCUUUUCCCCCUACCCCCCCGC
rnacentral:rRNA from 1 species